UACGUAGGGGGCAAGCGUUGGUCCGGAUUUAUUGGGCGUAAAGAGCGUGUAGGCGGUCAGGUAGGUCCGUUGUGAAAACUCGAGGCUCAACCUCGAGACGCCGAUGGAAACCAUCUGACUAGAGUCCGGAAGAGGAGAGUGGAAUUCCGUGGUGUGAGCGGUGAAAUGCGCAGAUAUCAGGAAGAACACCCGUGGCUAAGGCGGCUCUCUAGUACGGUACUGACGCUGAGACGCGAAAGCGUGGGGAGCGAACAGG
rnacentral:rRNA from 1 species